rnacentral:rRNA from 1 species
GUGAGGAAUCUUGCGCAAUGGGCGAAAGCCUGACGCAGCAACGCCGCGUGGAUGAUGAAGGCCUUCGGGUCGUAAAAUCCUGUCAGGAGGGAAGAAAUGGUAGCGGGCCAACACCCCGUUAUUUUGACUGUACCUCCAGAGGAAGCCCCGGCUAACUCCGUGCCAGCAGCCGCGGUAAUACGGGGGGGGCCAGCGUUGUUCGGAAUUAUUGGGCGUAAAGGGCACGCAGGUGGUCGUGCAAGUCGGUUGUGAAAUCCCUUGGCUUACCCAAGGAACUGCUUCUGAUACUGCAUGACUUGAGUCCGGGAGAGGAGAGCGGAAUUCCCAGUGUAGCGGUGGAAUGCGUAGAUAUUGGGAGGAACACCAGUGGCGAAGGCGGCUCUCUGGACCGGUACUGACGCUGAGGUGCGAAAGCUAGGGUAGCAAACAGG